CUUUAAAUUUUAUUCAGUAAAGAGUAAACAGGAUAAAAGUGUCUUUAUUUUUUUUAAGAAAGUUGAAAAAAAUGCCCAGCUUUCCAUACGUGGCUUUGAUGUAAAUAAGUACUGGUGAGAAACCCAAGAAAAAAAAACAAUGUGGCUAUUUACUUUAUUGUAUCAAUAGGAAAAAAAAGUUAGUUGAUGGAACAAUAGUGGCAGUAGAACUACCUUGCUUGUACCCUAACGAAGCCGGUCACCUGAUGUGCAUUGAAGCCCUAUCGAACCCUUGCGUUUACAUGGUAAUCAGCCGUUAUCAACAAGGCAAGAUAGUGCAUGGUUAUAGUGGAAUUCAAGCCUUGGUGGACCUUUCUUCUGUAUUUGUCCCGUCUUGUUGAUGGUAGACAGCUGUUCCACACCUCGUACACAACAGAGAAACCCCCUCGGACGAAGACUUCGUUCAGAUCUAAAAGGCAAGGAGACAGUGUUUGCCAUUAUUGAAAGACAAAGGAAAAGAAGCAAUGACAGAAAACAAAUAUCACCAUACCGUCUUGUCUUUAAUGUUUCCAACAGCUGACAGUCCGAUAUAAGCCAG